GGGGGCGUAAAGGUUUCGACGGGGAUCGCGAACCUUAGUAAGCGAGCAGCGGCGCGGAACCGCUUUAAAAGCCGCAAACUUUAAAAUGAAACGACAACAAUAAAGUUGCGUACGCUGCCUAAUUAAGGCAGCCGUCUUCCCCGGGAGCACCACGGCCCGGGAGAGGGCGUCGACUAGUGGUGAACGUGAACACGGCUACGCCUUUACCCGUGUCACGGCUUAAAGGCUACUGAACCGCGCAGCCUGCCGAUGGGCGGCGCGGAGAGGGAACGUCAAACCACCGGCUGCGCUCGGAGAAAGCUUUGGCGACUGAUUUUCGGACAGGGGUUCGAUUCCCCUCGCCUCCACCA
rnacentral:tmRNA from 1 species